rnacentral:rRNA from 1 species
CGGCAUGCUUAACACAUGCAAGUCGAACGAAGACCCAGAGCUUGCUCUGGAUCUCUUAGUGGCGAACGGGUGAGUAACGCGUGGGAAUCUACCUAGAAAUGGGGAAUAACUAUUGGAAACGAUAGCUAAUACCGCAUAAUCCCUCUGGGGGAAAGGCUUCGGUCGUUUUUAGAUGAGCCCGCGUUAGAUUAGGCUGUUGGUGAGGUAAUGGCUCACCAAACCUGCAAUCUAUAGCUGGUCUGAGAGGAUGAUCAGCCACACUGGGACUGAGACACGGCCCAGACUCCUACGGGAGGCAGCAGUGGGGAAUAUUGGACAAUGGGGGAAACCCUGAUCCAGCAAUGCCGCGUGAGUGAUGAAGGCCUUAGGGUUGUAAAACUCUUUCAGAAGUGAAGAUGAUGACGGUAACUUCAGAAGAAGCUCCGGCUAACUCCGUGCCAGCAGCCGCGGUAAUACGGAGGGAGCUAGCGUUGUUCGGAAUUACUGGGCGUAAAGAGCGUGUAGGCUGUUAGGUAAGUCAGAGGUGAAAUCCCUAAGCUCAACUUAGGAACUGCCUUUGAUACUAUCUUACUAGAGAUCGAGAGAAGUUGGCGGAAUUCCAAGUGUAGAGGUGAAAUUCGUAGAUAUUUGGAAGAACACCAGUGGCGAAAGCGGCCAACUGGCUCGUUUCUGACGCUAAGACGCGAAAGCGUGGGUAGCAAACAGGAUUAGAUACCCUGGUAGUCCACGCCGUAAACGAUGAGUGCUAGCCGUUUGUGAUUUAUCACAAGUGGUGCAGCUAACGCGUUAAGCACUCCGCCUGGGGAGUACGA